GUUGGUGAGGUAACGGCUCACCAAGGCUGUGAUCAGUAGCCGUCCUGAGAGGGAGCACGGCCACACUGGCACUGAAACACGGGCCAGACUCCUACGGGAGGCAGCAGUGGGGAAUCUUGCACAAUGGAGGAAACUCUGAUGCAGCGACGCCGCGUGAGCGAUGAAGCCCCUCGGGGUGUAAAGCUCUUUCGACGGGAACGAUAAUGACGGUACCCGAAGAAGAAGCUGCGGCUAACUACGUGCCAGCAGCCGCGGUAAUACGUAGGCAGCAAGCGUUGUUCGGAAUUACUGGGCGUAAAGAGUGUGUAGGCGGUGUUCUAAGUCUGUUGUGAAAUCUCCCGGCUUAACUGGGAGGGUGCGGCGGAAACUGGAAUGCUAGAGGAUGGGAGAGGUAAGCGGAAUUCCUGGUGUAGCGGUGAAAUGCGUAGAUAUCAGGAGGAACACCUGUGGUGUAGACAGCUUACUGGACCAUUUCUGACGCUGAGACACGAAAGCGUGGGUAGCAAACAGGAUUAGAUACCCUGGUAGUCCACGCCCUAAACGAUGCAUACUUGGUGUGAGCGAUUCAUUUCGUUCGUGCCGGAGCUAACGCGUUAAGUAUGCCGCCUGGGGAGUACGGUCGCAAGGUUGAAAUUCAAAGGAAUUGACGGGGGCCCGCACAAGCGGAGGAACAUGUGGUUUAAUUCGAUGCAACGCGAAGAACCUUACCUGGGCUUG
rnacentral:rRNA from 1 species